CGAUUUAAAGCUUAAGAUAAGCAUUUUAUUUACAUUAAAAAGAUUACUUUGAAUAGUAUAAUUCGA
rnacentral:tRNA from 1 species